ACCUCAACGUAUGCUGUACGUCCGCUAAAUAUAUACCACCACGAGUCAAACCUAUCGAUGUAGACGAUGGCCUAUAAAUACUCCGUACGACGCCGGAGGCCUCUUCAUCUCGAGUCCAACCUUUCUCCUCACUUCCUGCAGGCAGAUAGACGCGAUGGCUUCACUGAAGAUUCACGCUCUCCUCUUUGCUUACGCUUUGCUCGCGGUUCUCUUGCACCCUUGUCUUUGCCAAGACAUCGCAACCUCGACGAUGACCAGCUCAAGGAAGUUUGAUGGGAAGGCCAUCGAUCAAGGAAUUGCUUAUGUCUUGAUGCUUCUCGCGCUCUUCGUUACCUACCUCGUCCAUUGAGCUUCUUCGCUCGUAGCAGUGCAAUUGUUUGGAUGGAGAGACCCUUCAAAUAUUCUGUAAUUUGAUCGCUUUUAUCUUCUCUUCUCUUGCUAAUUCUUCAUUGGAGUUUGUUAGCGACUGGUCUCGAUGUUUUCGAUCAUUAAGAUUUGUCGACUAUGAAAUCGAAAAGAACAAAUUAAAAGUUAA